rnacentral:lncRNA from 1 species
UUUUCACAGUGGGAGAGCAGCGAUGGUUCGGGGAACUCAGCUACUCUCUAAUUUGUUUCCUGUCUGAGUCUGUCUCCCUCUCAAGGGAUUUUGAAACAUAUUAAGAAAUCAGAAAUAAUCGAGUUCAAAGUGCCACACACCUUGAUGAUGUGCACAUCAGUGGGCAUUGAUUUUGUGACUUUGCCAAGUACACAGCCAGUCCCUCGAUACUGAAAUCAUGGACUGGGGUCGCCAGCAUGUGCUCCACCCGGGGUUUGAUUUGACGUAUGCAUGGUCUCAGGCCUCGCCCAGAUCUGCCGCACCAGAGGGGGAAUUCUGAAAGGAUUUUAACUCUAGGGACUCCUGGUUCAGACAACUCUGCUCUUGCAAUGGAGUCCGUACCCACUUAGCACCUGAAACGUUCCCUAGUCCACAUCUCGAGUUUGGAGCAGCAAGAAUCUUCAUGGUGGAAACCGCCAUCACAUUCUUCUGAUUGCCUGGCAAACUAAGGCCGUUCGUCAGAAUCCUGAAAUCCUGAGAGAAGGUGACCCUGAGAUAGCACUAAUGGUGCGUUCAACGUGGGGAGCUCACACCUGUCCCGUGAAAAGGACCCACAUGUUUCUUCUCUGGUCUACUUAUCUCCCUCAGUAUAGAAUACCACCUUGUACACUUCCUUGGCAAAUUGCUUUAGUGCAUUAGAUCUACAGUACUACAAUCUAAAUCCAUAUUAGACUUCAAUAUUAAUGUUUGUGUUAACCAUAAACACAAAAUACAAACACUACCGAUUUUUAUGAAUUAGUGAUACUAAUAUUAAUUUUUGUGUUAACUGUGAACUUCAAUACUAAUUUCAAUACUAAUUAAAUACUAAUUUUUGUGUUAACCACAAAUGCGUAAUAAAGAACAGUAAGAGAAAAUAAGAGGAUGUGGAAAAUCAAUAUUAGUUCUAAAUGUUCUUAUUUCGUUCCCAAUGUUUUGUAUCAAACUGUUUAUAGCACAUGAUUUUUCCUCCCAAAGUACUGCCUUCAUGCUCUAGGAAAAUUUGCUUUCAAUUUUCAAUAAUCAAAUGGUAAAUUUAGUUUAAAUGAUCUUCUUUAAAAUGAAAACACUUGAUUCUGAGAAGAUUUUUCCUAAUUGGC